rnacentral:rRNA from 1 species
AGAGUUUGAUCAUGGCUCAGAACGAACGCUGGCGGCGUGCUUAACACAUGCAAGUCGAACGAGAAAGGGCUCUUCGGAGCCCGAGUAAAGUGGCGCACGGGUGAGUAACGCGUAGAUAACCUGUCCUGGUGUCUGGGAUAACCCACCGAAAGGUGGACUAAUACCGGAUACGCUUGCUGAGCGGAAGCGAUGCAAGGAAAGAUGGCCUCUGAUGUAAGCUAUCGCACCUCGAGGGGUCUGCGUACCAUUAGCUAGUUGGUGGGGUAACGGCCUACCAAGGCAACGAUGGUUAGCGGGUCUGAGAGGAUGAUCCGUCACACUGGCACUGAAACACGGGCCAGACUCCUACGGGAGGCAGCAGUGAGGAAUAUUGCGCAAUGGGGGAAACCCUGACGCAGCGACGCCGCGUGAGUGAGGAAGGCCUUCGGGUCGUAAAACUCUGUCAGAAGGGAAGAAGUGCAGCGAGGUUAAUACCCUUUCUGUUGACGGUACUCAA